GUCAUUAGGGAAACAUCAACUGUUCACAUUUCUUUCUCUCCUUUUUCUCUUUUUGGUUCCAAUGCAAAGCCAAACACUUCUAAAUAAAGCCUAAUUUUAACUAAAGAAGCCGUGGUCCUUAGAAGAGUGGCAUCCACCUGUCUCACUGAGAUGGAAAAAUCUGGCUUUGAUGCACUACUGCUGAGUGGCUCUAAUGUCCUUAGAGGUGGAAAAGUAUUGGUCUCCCUGUGCACUCAUUCCUGUGAGAACGGAGCUUCGUUCUGCUCUAUCAUCUAACAGCUAAGAGAAACUUCUACCUUCAGUAAGUCCGUGCGUGCCCAACAAACCUCAUGCAUUGGAAAGUAAGGAUGCCAUGAAGACGCACACAGCACCGCUUGGUCAUGAGUCUACAAGGGUUACUCUAAUAUUGAUGAACGUCCUACACGUGUGCAAGAACAGAAUAAAUUGAUUGGCAGACUAUUGUCAAGAUUCAUGACUACCAAAGGAAGCUCCUUAUGCCAGCUAUAGUCUUUGGCAGGAAGAAAGCUCUUAUCAUAUUUAUCUGGAAGUGAAGAUAUCCACCUAAACAAUUAAGAUACCUGGGCGGCACAGAACCCAUCAAAGAAGAGGAAAGGAUGUCACUUCUUGUCCUCUUCCAGAUUGGCCACCCGGAUGCAAGUAUGGAAACUGUUCUUAGAGACUGGCAUUCUCAACAGAUAAAUUUCUCUGAGUACCACUCCCUGCCUCGGAGCCGUCAGAAAGGAGACACAGCUAAGGAGCAGCCUUGCUAAGCUUGUGGAGGGAUUCAUCAUCUAUCAGGACCUGAGUCUAUAACAAAGGGUAAACUUCAGGGGCUGAUAGGAUUUGUUUGUUUUCCAAUUGGUAAAGUUUUUGCCUCACAAUCAGUCAAACCUAGGAGCUAAAUACAACCCCCAGGGGUGGCACAAAAACUCCAAGGCACAGCAGCAUCCAUUUGUAAGCCAAAUGCCAUGAAGACAGGAAGAGCCUGGUGUUUGCUGGCCUGCCAGCCUAGCCUAGCUGGUGACCUCCAGGUUCAAUGAGAGAGCCUCUUUGAAAGGAAGUGAACAGCACUCCUACAGGUGACCCCUAGAGCUGCCCUGCCCCCCACAUAGAUAUGCACACAAGUAUGCAUUCACCUGCAUACACAUAUGCAUCUGGACACACACACACACACACACACACACAGAGAGAGAGAGAGAGAGAGAGAGAGAGAGAGAGAGAGAGAGAGACUUCAGGCUUUGAAAGCAUAGUGACCAUUAAGCACCAAGUAACUUGGAUUAUUUGGCACAGAGAAUUAUCUUUAAAGAGCCACAUGGGAGUUGCCAUGGUUUCUCGGCACCUUUAUUAGGGCUGACGAUCUAGAGAGGAACCUUUGUUUCACAAAGCUCUUGUCAAUUGCUAGAAGUGGUUUUGGAGGUACACACUAAAUCUCAGUGUAAUGAAGUCUAGUUCAACUAGGACAAGGGAACCAAAGGUCAGUAGGAGACUCCAUAUGUCACAGGCCAAGGAUUCUAUGUAUGCCAAUAAAUAAGAAGUACACAUAAGAAUGUCUUGAAAGAACACAUAUAUACAUAUACACAUCCACAUACAUACACACACACACACAUAUACAUAGUCUUCUCUCUGUAUUUCAUGGCCUUAAGGUCAGCAAACCUCACAUUUCUUUUUGGAAGUAAAACCAUUUCUGUACCGAAUGAACAUGAAUAGACUUUAAUUCCUUGCCAUCAUUUGUUAAAUAAUAUAGUAGAGCUAUCUAAAUAUUAUUAAUCAUUAAUUAAACAUAACAUAUUCACAUUAUACUAAGUAUUACAAGUAAUCUAGACAUGAUUCAAAGUAAACAGGAUGUUGUGUAUAGGUUCUGUGCGAAUCCUGUACUGCUUUAUAUAAGAGACUUGACUCUAUAAGGGCCUGGAUAUAGACAUGGUCCUGGCACCAAACCCUACAGAUAAGGGAAGACAACGCCAUCUUUAUGGAUAUUUAUAUCUUUACUCUUAGACUUUUUAUUCGUAAGGAGUUUGCUCAGGUGCAAGACUAAGUGUAUUUUCUCUCCCUUCGCCUGCAUUAUGUAAGUUCAUAAAAGUAUAAAACAGACAAUGUCCAAACAACUCUUUUUCAGUCUUAACUCGGUUCUUAAAAAUUCAUCCCUCUUAUAUUUGCUUUAAUGGCUGUGCAGCAUAAAUAUGCAUGGUGUGCAGCCACGUAUAUUCUCACACCUUCUUGGAGUCUAACAACGGGAGCCUUUUGACCUUGGUCUGAAGAGGAAAAAGUUACUGAAAUGCCUAAGGACAGAAGCGACAGUCUCGUACUUUGAAUUACAGAGGAAAAUGAGGAAGUCCUUCCCAAGAGUGAAUUCCUCAACAACAGUUUAGAUUCCUGCCUAAGAGGAAUGCUUUGUAAAUUACAUCUGAAAACAAUGACUUCUCUUUUCUUUGUACAAGUUUUAACAAGAAUAAUGCAUAUCUGCUUACCCUAAACCUGUAAAAGGUAAAACAGGAGGCCGAUGUAGCCUGACUUACCUGGAACUAUUAUGCUAAUAAACA